CCUACGGGGUGCAGCAGUGGGGAAUAUUGCACAAUGGGGGAAACUCUGAUGCAGCGACGCCGCGUGAGUGAAGAAGUAUUUCGGUAUGUAAAGCUCUAUCAGCAGGGAAGAAAAAAGACGGUACCUGACUAAGAAGCCCCGGCUAACUACGUGCCAGCAGCCGCGGUAAUACGUAGGGGGCAAGCGUUAUCCGGAUUUACUGGGUGUAAAGGGAGCGUAGACGGCGCGGCAAGUCUGAAGUGAAAGGCAGGGGCUUAACCCCUGAACUGCUUUGGAAACUGCCAUGCUAGAGUGCUGGAGAGGUAAGUGGAAUUCCUAGUGUAGCGGUGAAAUGCGUAGAUAUUAGGAGGAACUCCGAUUGCGAAGGCAGCAUACCGGCGCUCAACUGACGCUCAUGCACGAAAGCGUGGGUAUCGAACAGGAUUAGAUACCCUUGUAGUC
rnacentral:rRNA from 1 species